GCAGGUGGCCUAAAGUGGUUAGGGUGUUUGCCUCUGAUGCAUGAGGUUGCAAGUUCGAACCCCUGAACCCCAACA